rnacentral:lncRNA from 1 species
UACGUACAACUGGCCGUGAGUGAAGACGGUCCUAGGAAGAUAUAAAGCAACUUGAUUCAGACUUUGUUCUUGACUUUUAUCGCAUAGCAAAGAUGCAGUGGAUAUUGGCUUCGGCAUAAUGUGAAAGGAUGCAUGGUGUCAAGAGGGGAAAGCUGUAUCCGAGGGAUCAAUAUUUGUUCACCUGCAUCUUUCCCAGUCAUGAUCUCAGCCUCGACUAUCAUGUUACCUAGUCCAGUAACUAUCAUCCUUGUCCCAUUACAUAAUUCAUAAGUCUGGUUGAGAUUGAGCAGCAUCAAGACUGGAGACUGUACCUUCAAUCAGAGUCUGUG